rnacentral:rRNA from 1 species
UACGUAGGGUGCGAGCGUUAAUCGGAAUUACUGGGCGUAAAGCGUGCGCAGGCGGUGAUGUAAGACCGAUGUGAAAUCCCCCGGGCUUAACCUGGGAACUGCAUUGGUGACUGCAUUGCUGGAGUAUGGCAGAGGGGGGGUGGAAUUCCACGUGUAGCAGUGAAAUGCGUAGAGAUGUGGAGGAACACCGAUGGCGAAGGCAGCCCCCUGGGCCAAUACUGACGCUCAUGCACGAAAGCGUGGGGAGC